UACGGAGGGUGCAAGCGUUAUCCGGAUUCACUGGGUUUAAAGGGUGCGUAGGUGGGCAGUUAAGUCAGUGGUGAAAUCUCCGGGCUUAACCCGGAAACUGCCAUUGAUACUAUCUGUCUUGAAUAUCGUGGAGGUAAGCGGAAUAUGUCAUGUAGCGGUGAAAUGCUUAGAUAUGACAUAGAACACCAAUUGCGAAGGCAGCUUACUACCCGAAUAUUGACACUGAGGCACGAAAGCGUGGGGAGCAAACAGG
rnacentral:rRNA from 1 species